CAAUUUUAAGAUAGGUGGUUAGUUAAUUUGUUGAUCUAAUUUACAGAAAUAUUUUGGUAUUUUUGUAUUAUUGUUUUGCACCAAUAACAGAUAUAUAAAGCCUUACUGUGGCAAUAAAUGAUUUACACACCUCUGCUCUGUGUGUUUAGCUGGUUCAGCUAACUUCUUUGACAGCCAAAAAACCCAGGCAAGACACUACAAGACACUUCAAGAAAUAUACAAGACCAAAAAACCGAACAAAGCUGCUGUUACCCAACUGCUGAACCUGGAGUUUGAGUCUAGAAGACAAUUCAUUAACUCUGAUGCUAUAAAGGAGCAGGACAGAGCAGUGAAGAUACUAGAGGCAUAUCCUUGUUUCAGAGAACUGGACCAUGUCCUUGAUGAGCUGCGGAGAAUUAUUCAACCAUCCAACUUGAAAUACAUUUCUGAGAUGAAGGAUAGAUGGGAAAUCUUCUACUCGAAGGUGCAGUUUUAUGGUGUCAUGAAGAAAGUUAUGAAGCCGCCAAAAACUUUGGAUGGAGUGGAACAUGCAGCAGCUGUGUUCAGAGCCCUUCCCGUGCUUUUCCCUUCCAGCACAGUACCACCUAAGAAGCUGGGCAUCUGUAGUGAGGCUUUUUUCCAUGUCCUAAAGACUUCAGAAGACCCUGAAGGCUACCUGCAUCAGCGACCCCUGGCUUGUCCAGUUCUGCUUGUCUCUGAAGGCAACUGCAUGAUAGCUGUUGGAACCACACCAGUGAGCACUUUUGACCGGAAGGAUCUUAAUGAGGGACUGCUCUAUCUGAUGGCAUAUUACUAUGCCCUCCACCUCACAUAUCCAAAGUGCAUUUCCACGCUGCUGUCUGUCUUGCAAACUGAAAUACUCAAAGACUCCAUCCAUGACCGAGAUUCAACCCCCUCUUACAGGAAGGCGCUUGGUGAGUGGAAGUCAUUCAUUGAGUGAGUCUCUCAGAUGACAGACUCCAUCUGCCUUGUUUAUCAGACUCAGUGUUGGUCAGUGAGGUUGUUUUUUUUCUCUCUAGAAAAGUUGUUCAAAUGUAAAACACAUGUUUGUUUGUGUGGUCGUUGAACUUGUUCUUCUAAAAUGUUAUGUAAUAUAGGAUUUGAAAUAGUGAUUGUUUUAAGCUUCAGCAAAAUUUAUUUUUGAUACCAGCCAUGAGUGUGUUAUACUGUUAUUAUUCAUGUUAAGAGUAUCUGGAAUAUGCACUUCUUAUAUUGGCCAUGUUACACAGUACCCUGCUGAAAUGUAUAAUUUUAGGCAUGAUUCUCCUGGAACAG
ensembl:lncRNA